CCUGAGGGUUAAUGGGUAAUGGGCGUAGAGGCCAGCCCAGGAGAAGGUACAGCCCUGUCCUCCCCACCGUGGGACUCUCCUGGCCUCCUGUGGACCCACACAGCACUGGCAUCAGGCCAUUUCGCAGAGGAAGAGGAGGGCUCAAAGUGGGGCAGGACUCCGCAAGUGGCUGCCCUCAUUCACAGGGGGCUUCAAGGGUCUUCUACUCCCUCCCUGCAACUCAAAGUGUGGCCCCGGGCCAGGGCACUAGCCGAGCAGGAGCAGGGAACAGUGGCAGAGGCCCCCCCGGCCCCCGGCCCCAUGCCAACCCCCUGCUCUGCUGCAACCUCGACAUCAAAUUUCUACCCAGUCCCCACCUGAUGCAAAGACAUUCGAGGCAGCCAGCGUGCUUCUACAUCCAGUUUAUACACAGCUCUAUACAAUAUACAGAAACCUUUAUAUACAGAUAUAUUUAUAGAAUAAG
ensembl:lncRNA MYRF-AS1 MYRF antisense RNA 1